rnacentral:misc_RNA from 1 species
CCUCUGGGUCCAACCUCCCACCCGUGUCUAUCGUACCUUGUUGCUUCGGCGGGCCCGCCGUUUCGACGGCCGCCGGGGAGGCCUUGCGCCCCCGGGCCCGCGCCCGCCGAAGACCCCAACAUGAACGCUGUUCUGAAAGUAUGCAGUCUGAGUUGAUUAUCGUAAUCAGUUAAAACUUUCAACAACGGAUCUCUUGGUUCCGGCAUCGAUGAAGAACGCAGCGAAAUGCGAUAAGUAAUGUGAAUUGCAGAAUUCAGUGAAUCAUCGAGUCUUUGAACGCACAUUGCGCCCCCUGGUAUUCCGGGGGGCAUGCCUGUCCGAGCGUCAUUGCUGCCCUCAAGCACGGCUUGUGUGUUGGGCCCCCGUCCCCCUCUCCCGGGGGACGGGCCCGAAAGGCAGCGGCGGCACCGCGUCCGGUCCUCGAGCGUAUGGGGCUUUGUCACCUGCUCUGUAGGCCCGGCCGGCGCCAGCCGACACCCAACUUUAUUUUUCUAAGGUUGACCUCGGAUCAGGUAGGGAUACCCGCUGAACUUAA